rnacentral:lncRNA from 1 species
UCAUAAGUUGGCCAUCCCAAGAGUAUUUCUACUUGAAGCAGUCAUUAAUUAUUCUGACCAGGAUUGUCUGUCUUUUCUAUUUAUAGGCUGGCCAUGGGCGACACUGACUGUUCUUGGGUUCCUCUACUGCUAUUCUCAUGUUGGAAUUGAGUGGGAGCAGAAGUGUGCUGCACACUAGGAAUGAUGCAAACCAUUAUUCUUGAGUCACAUCCAACACAUGUCCUGCCAGAGCAUCUGAGUGAGUCCCAGCUGCCUGUGGCACCACCCAACCUAUGGAUGAACAAUGUGGCUCAGACAUCCCCAGCCUGGGGGACACGCACUGGCAGCUCCAAGCUUGAGAGGCUUUCUCAGAUGCCACCAAUGCCCAGGAGGACAGGAAAAGGAAAAUUCCAGUGGAUAUGACACACUUUAGACACUGCACAAAAGGUGGAGCUGAAGGGUGUCAAGGCUCAACGUUGAGGCAGCCUCAGCAUGGCUCCCUUUAGUUCCUACAAGCUUUACACAUAAGUGAACUGCUCCAAGAGGAAAAAGGUCUGUGCACUCUGUACCCACUAGAGAUAAUGCCAGUAUUAAAACUAUGCUCAAAAAUCUCCUCAUUCCUUAUGCUGGGAAUCACAAAGAUCUGAGUGAGAACAAGUUAAGCUAACAUCAGGAUCUAACAGGCAAAUUUGGACCACAAAUUAGGCUGCACCACCUUUCUUAAUAUCCAGGGGCAGCUCAAUGUGUAAAUAGCUUUAGGUAGCUCAUAUCAGCACCUUUCAGGAACAGAACAAAUUAAAUGGGCUACCUGUGGCCCGUGCCUUCCCCAGCAAUGGUCAGCCUGAAGGUUACACAAAUGCAUUCUAUCCACAGGGAUUUAAGAAAAGCUUUAUAUAUGGCUGAGCAGCUGAAGUGAAUCAUUGCAGACAGGUGCAUCAGCCAGCCACUGAAAAAUUAAAGUUUACUGAGAAAGUAGCACAGAAAUAUAACUUCAGUCACGACCUGUGGCAUUUAAAUUGUAUUGGCACUCCCUCUAGAGCUGAUCUUUCUUGACAAAAUUAAUUAAUUUUUAUGGACCAUAACAUUUUCAUCCCUGCACUAGCGCAUUUGAAUUUCCAAAAUUAGGUGACAAAAAUAGAAGAACUGGAAAUUAUACUGGAAGACCAGAAAGAGCUACACAGUUCGUAAAUUAAUUAAAAUGCAAGUCAGGGAAAAAAUUAGGUCCAGUUGAUUUAUUUUUUUUUAGACUACUGCCAGAAGGGUUAAGGUUGCUUUAGGGGCUCAGGUAUGUGGGAGGA